UACGGGGGGGGGCAAGCGUGUUCGGAAUUACUGGGCGUAAAGGCUCGUAGGCGGCCAACUAAGUCGGAUGUGAAAUCCCCAGGCUCAACCUGGGAACGGCAUCCGAUACUGGAUGGCUUGAAUCCGGGAGAGGGAUGCAGAAUUCCAGGUGUAGCGGUGAAAUGCGUAGAUAUCUGGAGGAAUACCGGUGGCGAAGGCGGCAUCCUGGACCGGCAUUGACGCUGAGGAGCGAAAGGCUAGGGGAGCAAAGCGGG
rnacentral:rRNA from 1 species